AUGAACGCGGGAGGAGGGAAGACUACAUGCAAGUCGAGCGAACAGACGAGGAGCUUGCUCCUCUGACGUUAGCGGCGGACGGGUGAGUAACACGUGGAUAACCUACCUAUAAGACUGGGAUAACUUCGGGAAACCGGAGCUAAUACCGGAUAAUAUAUUGAACCGCAUGGUUCAAUAGUGAAAGACGGUUUUGCUGUCACUUAUAGAUGGAUCCGCGCCGCAUUAGCUAGUUGGUAAGGUAACGGCUUACCAAGGCAACGAUGCGUAGCCGACCUGAGAGGGUGAUCGGCCACACUGGAACUGAGACACGGUCCAGACUCCUGCGGGAGGCAGCAGUAGGGAAUCUUCCGCAAUGGGCGAAAGCCUGACGGAGCAACGCCGCGUGAGUGAUGAAGGUCUUCGGAUCGUAAAACUCUGUUAUUAGGGAAGAACAAAUGUGUAAGUAACUAUGCACGUCUUGACGGUACCUAAUCAGAAAGCCACGGCUAACUACGUG
rnacentral:rRNA from 1 species